AUUGAACGCUGGCGGCAGGCCUAACACAUGCAAGUCGAGCGAGCGGCGGACGGGUGAGUAAUGUAUGGGGAUCUGCCCGAUGGAGGGGGAUAACUACUGGAAACGGUGGCUAAUACCGCCUACUAUCGGAUGAACCCAUAUGGGAUUAGCUAGUUGGUGGGGUAAAGGCUCACCUAGGCGACGAUCUCUAGCUGGUCUGAGAGGAUGAUCAGCCACACUGGGACUGAGACACGGCCCAGAGUCCUACGGGAGGCAGCAGGGGGGAAUAUUGCACAAUGGGCGCAAGCCUGAUGCAGCCAUGCCGCGUGAAUGAAGAAGGCCUUAGGGUUGUAAAGUACUUUCAGCAGGGAGGCGUUACCCGCAGAAGAAGCACCGGCUAACUCCGUGCCAGCAGCCGCGGUAAUAC
rnacentral:rRNA from 1 species